CCAAACCCUGCCUGUCAUUUGCAGAUUACUUUCCUCUUAAUUUUCAACCUCAUCUUACUAGGUCUGUGUUCAGGUUACAUUUUGACAACCCUUGUAUUUUCAACUGCUAAAAUCCUUGUCAGUGGAAACAGCUGUGCAAUCCCUCUUGUGGCACUUGAGAGCAGCCAUGAUUUUACCAGAUAGUGAUUGUGGUUGUUUGGUUAUAUCCCACUGGUUCCCUUCUUAGCUCUGCUGCAAAGUGUCUUGUAAAAUGUAUCAUGUGGGUGUGAUUGAGCCACAAGUCACAAUCACUCAUUUGGGUUUAGACAAGAUGCUUUAUCUAUAGCAAAGGAAUCUACCUAUAAAGGGAACAACUUCAAAUGAGUUCAUUUGCAGUAGAUUCAAAGAUUUAGUGAAAACUGAAAUAGUUGUGAUCACAAGUCAAUGUAUUAUAAUGGAAUUAAUGUAGUUACUUUUUGUAGCAGUAUUCAAAAGUUUGUUUUCAUAGAAUUAUAGACUCUCAGGAUGGUUUGGGUUUGACAGCACCUUAAAGUUCAUCUUGUUCCAUCCCCUGCCACAGGCAGGGACGUGUCCCACUACUCCAGGUUGCUCCGAGCCCCGUCCAACCUGGCCUUGAACACUUCCAGGAAUGGGACGGCCACAUUUUCUCUUGGCAACCUGUGCCAGGACCUCACCACCCUCACAGGGAAGAAUUUAUUCCUAAUCUCUACUCUAACUCUGCUCUCUGUUAGUUUGAAGCCAUUCCCCCUUGUCCUGUCACUCCAGACCCUUGUCCCCAGUCCCCCUUCAGCUCUCCUGGAGCCCCUUUAGGCACUGAAAGGGGCUCUGAGGUCUUCCCAGAACCUUCUCUUCCCCAGACCGUGCACCCUCAGCUCGCCCAGCCUGGUUCCAGGGCAGAGCUGCUCCAGUCCUCAGAGCAUCUUUGUGGCCUUCUCGGGACUUGCUCCAACAGAAUCCAGAGCAGAACCACUGAGGAUCUUUGGAUGAAGCAAUGCUUUGACCCUCUGGAGAAACUGCUUCCCUCUAGGGAUGAAGAGUGCGAGAAAGGCAAACUUUAGUUUCUGGCACAGUUGUUUUGGAGAACUGGCAGAGAUGCUGCAAAGGUUUGUUCAGCAUUGGAAUAAAUCAGAGAGCCUCUGGAGUCUUCCCUGAAACAAGGUAGUUUAUAUUGUUGUUUUUUUGGUUUUCAUUUGCUGGGAUAUUUUUAAAAAAGUCUAUGAUCUCUGGA
rnacentral:lncRNA from 13 species